ACGUGUGGGGACGCGGGGGACAUUACCGAGUUAUACAACUCAUCAACCCUGUGAACAUACCUAAAACGUUGCUUCGGCGGGAACAGACGGCCCCGUAACACGGGCCGCCCCCGCCAGAGGACCCCCAAGCUCUGUUUCUAUUAUGUUUCUUCUGAGUAAAACAAGCAAAUAAAUUAAAACUUUCAACAACGGAUCUCUUGGCUCUGGCAUCGAUGAAGAACGCAGCGAAAUGCGAUAAGUAAUGUGAAUUGCAGAAUUCAGUGAAUCAUCGAAUCUUUGAACGCACAUUGCGCCCGCCAGUAUUCUGGCGGGCAUGCCUGUUCGAGCGUCAUUACAACCCUCAGGCCCCCGGGCCUGGCGUUGGGGAUCGGCGAGGCGCCCCCUGCGGGCACACGCCGUCCCCCAAAUACAGUGGCGGUCCCGCCGCAGCUUCCAUUGCGUAGUAGCUAACACCUCGCAACUGGAGAGCGGCGCGGCCACGCCGUAAAACACCCAACUUCUGAAUGUUGACCUCGAAUCAGGUAGGAAUACCCGCUGAACUUAAGCAUAUCAAUAAGCGGAGGAAAAGAAACCAACAGGGAUUGCCCCAGUAACGGCGAGUGAAGCGGCAACAGCUCAAAUUUGAAAUCUGGCUCUCGGGCCCGAGUUGUAAUUUGUAGAGGAUGCUUUUGGUGAGGUGCCUUCCGAGUUCCCUGGAACGGGACGCCAUAGAGGGUGAGAGCCCCGUCUGGUUGGACACCGAUCCUCUGUAAAGCUCCUUCGACGAGUCGAGUAGUUUGGGAAUGCUGCUCUAAAUGGGAGGUAUAUGUCUUCUAAAGCUAAAUACCGGCCAGAGACCGAUAGCGCACAAGUAGAGUGAUCGAAAGAUGAAAAGAACUUUGAAAAGAGAGUUAAACAGUACGUGAAAUUGUUGAAAGGGAAGCGCUUGUGACCAGACUUGGGCUUGGUUGAUCAUCCGGGGUUCUCCCCGGUGCACUCUUCCGGCCCAGGCCAGCAUCAGUUCGCCCUGGGGGACAAAGGCUUCGGGAAUGUGCUCCUCUCCGGGGAGUGUUAUAGCCCGUUGCGUAAUACCCUGUGGCGGACUGAGGUUCGCGCAUCGCAAGGAUGCGCGAAGCACUGAGUC
rnacentral:rRNA from 1 species